AGUUACAAUUCAAAUUCUUCCACAUUAGCCCUGAUAAUUUAGUGAUGGCAUCAGAAACUGGAAAUGCCUGAAUCACAAGGAUGGAGAUUUCAAGGAGCCUGCCAAGUGUUUGAAGAUGAUGGUUGUGCCUCUCACUAGUUUGCUGUCAGCUACUCUCCGAUGAAGUUGGUGGCGCUGUGGAGGAGGACCGCCGCCUCCUGGACGAGGACCGGGAGCGCUCAGCAUUGUAGGAGACAUGCUUGUCAUAGUUCUCCAUCUGUGUCUCAAUGAAGUCCCUUUGCUGUUGUCUGAUGGUCUGGCUGAUCAGCCCAGGGAGGGCGUGAAUGCUACCAAUCAAAGUCUCUAGUUUUGUUUCCAGGGUGACGAUCCUUUUCUCAAAGUCUUCACUCCUUUCGUUUAAGUCGGAAAUCAUGUCAUACAUGAUAUUCUGGGUCUGGAAAAACAAGAAUGAGAAGAUAGAAACAGAGAAGUAAGAGGCUUAGUGACUUUUGCCUCAGAAGCAAACUGUCAACUCUUCAGGCUUCAGCACUGGCCUCUUGCCGUGGACAGGUGUGUCAGCUAACAGAAGAGUUUAGGUCACAAAGCAAAUUCCGUGAAUCUAGACCCCCCUUUAAUCCAUGCAAUUUUAGCGCUGAACUUUAAAUGCAUGAUGACAGACUAGUUGUGAUUUAGAAGAUGGUGUAGUAAAAUGACCAAUGGUUUGAGGUUAGAUGGAAAUGUUACAAUUUAAUAUUUAUGUGUGUUCAUGAUUCUUAUACAAGUUAGCAUAUCAAAUUCAUUUUUCAACAUGUGGCAUUACCACAUGGCCAAUUUUUAUGGUGACGGUAAGAUUUAAGGAAGAAAAAAAGGUAACAGUCAGAUGAUAGCGAGGUGUAAUACCAUAACAGAAGAGUAGGGGUAUAAUGUAGGAUCAAUGGACUUGAUCAGAUAACUUAGUAAUUUAAAGCAAUCAAUACACAUCUUCUGCUGCCUUAUGUUUCAAAUAUCAUAUCUCUUUUUAUUGACUCAAACCCCAAAUUUCAUAGAUUAGAUGUAAAAUAAUAACCCUCAAUAAGAUCAAUAGUGGUGGUGAUUCUAAGUUACUAGUUCAGGGCUGGGGGUAAAACUCAGCGGUUAAACUUUUGUCUAAUAGGCACAAAGCACUGGGUGUGUAUUCUCUGAACCAUGCAAGCAAACAUUUACAGGCCACCUCACUGGGAAUGAUCUAUUUAGAGCCACAUGGUCUGAAGGACGCAUGUGAAAUGCUGUCUUUGUACAGAAAACUGAAGUUGUCUCGAUCAGAGGCAGUCAUGAGUCUGAGUCUUGAUUACAGUUCUUGAAAUAGUUACUUGAGGGGAUUCCAAGGCUCAUCAGCUCAGAGCAAGGGAUGGAAAGGGGUGGCUGAGCAGAAGGGAGAGAUAUGCUCCACCCAGUCUACUGCCACCUUUCCCAAAUCCCAGACCCCCUUGUACUUCAUGUCUUUCUUGUUUCUCUUCCAGCUUCACAGCUGUUUAAAGAUGAUAAAGGAACCUACAGAAGGAGCCAUUUGGAACACAGCCAUUUUGUUUUGGUUGAGCCACAGACCCAGGGAGUACUAAUUUUAGUUUUACUACAUUCUUGGAAAAACUGAGCAAUAUCUGUUCAUUAGAAAGAUACUGAACUCUUAUGGCAUGCUUUCUCUCGUGGUCAGAGUAAAGAUGGUACAUAAACAACUCAAAUAUAUUUUACCUUGAAUAUAUCUUUGAUGUAUCUGAUGUCCAAUUUUCACAGACUAUACUUGAAGAUUUAGCAAAAACAGAAUAUGACUUAUUAAAUAUAAAACAGGAUGCAUAUGACUUAGUGUUGCCUCUGCCAAAGCAAUUGUGCUAAAAGGCAGAACACAUACAUACUUCUAUUCUAGAGUCUCUUUUAGAGCUAGCUGAACAGGAUGUAAUGUUUACACAGUUGAUAAAUAUUCAUAUUUCCAGAGUGGCUGUUACUUAUGGUGGAACAAUAAAAAAAAAGAUAAAUCUUGUAAAUGUGACAAAGAACUAGAAAACUAUUAAUGUACUUGUUAAAAAGAAGUAUGAUUGUUAAAUAACGGAGAAUGCUAGAAAAGUGAGUGAGAGAGAGAGAGAGAGAGAGAACAGAUUUUAGUUUAGAAUAUAAUUUCUGGGAUUCUAAAACAUUCAAUUUAUAUAGGUUUGGGCUUGCUUAAAAAUAUAUAAAAUAGAAUAAGAAUG
rnacentral:lncRNA from 1 species